rnacentral:rRNA from 1 species
CAGCAGCCGCGGUAAUACGUAGGUGGCAAGCGUUGUCCGGAAUUAUUGGGCGUAAAGGGCUCGCAGGCGGUUUCUUAAGUCUGAUGUGAAAGCCCCCGGCUCAACCGGGGAGGGUCAUUGGAAACUGGGAAACUUGAGUGCAGAAGAGGAGAGUGGAAUUCCACGUGUAGCGGAGAAAUGCGUAGAGAUGUGGAGGAACACCAGUGGCGAAGGCGACUCUCUGGUCUGUAACUGACGCUGAGGAGCGAAAGCGUGGGGAGCGAACAGGAUUAGAUACCCGAGUAGUCCCUGUCUCUUAUAA